AGGGAGGGAAUACGUCUCAUCGAGGGAACACCAGUCUCACCAGGGCCUACCAGUCUCACCGAAGGGAACACCAGCUCGGCCUCACCAAGAGAAUACCAGCACCCUGAAGACCCUCACUCUGAACGGAGGACACUGCACUCCUGACCCCAGCAUCCUCGCCGUGGAACACCGAGGCUACACAUCAUCGUACAAGUCCUGUCGUCCACACUGUGGGGCCUUUUCCCAAUGAACUAGAAUGAAUUUAUGCAGAAUUCACUGUGAAUGGUGUUAAGUGGAAAUGAACAUAAUUUCUUUCCUAGGCUGAAAAGGAACUGAGUAUGGAAUUCCACUUUCUAGAUGAUGCUGUGUGUCAGUGACUUCAUCCUUCAGUUAUGGAGACUUGAGUUCCCGCUAGAUAUAAGUAACUGUUGUUUUCAAGCAAGUGGAAGGUGCAAAACAUUCAAAGGAUUCAAAAUAUUAGUAAGCCUUCCUGACACAGGACCCUCCUGUCCAGCCACUGGAACCCCUCUCUGCCUAUGAUCCUGGGGUCUCUGCCCAGGUUGAGGGAUGCAGCUUCCUGUUCACAGGUUCAACCAGUAGUGAAGCUGAGCAUGUAUACCAGAGACACACAGACACCCUCAGAGGAUACUGACACAGACACAGCUAUGGCUACACACAGAGCCAUGGACAAGGUGCUGCUUUCUACAGCACCCACAUAGAGGACUCAGAUUUGAUGAGAUUUCACAAGAAUAUCUAAGAAGAUAGGACUGACUGCAAUGAAAAAGCAUGUCAGCUGGACAACUGUACUGAUCAACCCUGUUUUACACACAAGCAUCCCCUUUUAUAACACUCUUGGUCUACCCCCACCCUUUGUUCUUGUCUUUUCCACUUUCUCCUAAUCAUCCCCCUAUGGGUCUGUACAGCUGUAUCAAUUCCUGCACCCCUCCUUGUCUGGGAUCCGCCUGGUUUGCAGUCUUAUCAAUCACAAAGUCCAGGUUGAUCUUCCUGGAAGUGUGCUUGUAGUUUCUGGAUAGCCCAUUAAUGAGUGUGACUUGCAUGGUUUGUGUCUUGACAUUGUCUCCAUGAAUGUUUUGUCAGGUUUAUGUUUUUGUAUAUUUUGUUUCUGUUUCCUCCUUUUCCCUUAUUUUCCUAAUUGACAAGAUCUCUUAUCAUAAAACAUUGCUGGAAUAAACAGUCUCACACUCACAGUAUCACAGUAUCACAGUAUGUUUGGGAUUGAAAGGGACCUCGAAAGAUCAUCUAGUCCAAUCCACCUGCUGGAGCAGGAAGACCUAGAUGAGGCUACACAGGAACAUGUCCAGGUGGGUCUUGAAUGUCUCCAGUGAAGGAGACUCCACAACCCCCGCGGGCAGCCUGUUCCAGUGCUCUGUCACCCUUACUGAGAAUAAGUUUUUUCUCAAAUUUAAGUGGAAUCUCUUGUGUCCUAGCUUGAUCCCUUUACCGCUUGUCCUAUCAUUGUUUGCCACCGAGAAGAGCCUGGCUCCAUCCUCGUGGCACUCACCCUUUGUAUAUCUGUAAACAUUAAUAAGAUCACCCCUCAGUCUCCUCUUCUCCAAGCUAAAGAGACCCAGCUCCCUCAGCCUUUCUUCAUAAGGGAGGUGCUCCACUCCCUUAGUCAUCUUGGUUGCCCUACGCUGGACCCUCUCCAGCAGUUCCCUGUCCUUGAACUGAGGGGCCCAGAAAUGAACACAAUAUUCUAGAUGGGGUCUCACCAGGGCAGAGUAGAGGGGAAGGAGGACCUCUCUCGAUCUACUAACCACCCCCCUUCUAAUACACCCAAAGAUGCCAUGGGCCUUCUUGGCUAUAAGGGCACAGUGCUGGCUCAUGGUCAUCCUGUUGUCCACCAGGACCCCCAGGUCCCUUUCCCCUACACUGCUCUCUAAUAUGUAAUUUCCCAACCUAUACUGGAACCUGGGGUUGUUCCUGCCCAGAUGCAGGACUUUACACUUUCCCUUGUUAAAUUUCAUUAGGUUAUUCCCCGCCCAACUCUCCAGCCUGUCCAGGUCAUGCUGGAUGGCAGCACAGCCUUCUGGCGUGUCAGCCACUCCUCCCAGCUUAGUGUCAUCAGCAAACUUGCUGAUAGUACACUCAAUUCCCUUGUCCAAAUCGUUAAUAAAUAUAUUGAAUAAUAUUGGCCCCAAUACUGACCCCUGAGGCACUCCACUAGAUACAGGCCUGCAAGUAGACUCCGCACCAUUGACUACCACUCUCUGGCUUCUUUCCUUAAGCCAGUUUGCAACCCACCUCACUACUCUGUUGUCUAGACCACACCUCCUCAACUUAGCUGUGAGGAUGCUGUGGGAGACUGUCAGCGGCUUUACUGAAGUCAAGGUAGACCACUCCUCCAUGUCCUCAUCAAUUACUGUAGCUGACCAGAUUUGGUUCUCAUCUCUACCUCCCCUAGCAAUUGUCGGUCAGGUUUAUGUCCCUGUAUGUUCUUGUUUAUGGCUUCCUUAUUUUCUUAUUAUCCUUUAAUGCAGUGAAAAAGGCCCUUGACCGGAUACCCUUAAAGGAACAGGCACUCUCUUUCACUAUACCAUUAUAAGUUCCAUGAAAUAUGAAAAGCUAGGACCCAACUUGGGUUUGGGAAUUUUGCUAGGUAAUUUAAAGUUAGAUACAAAGCACUCAGCCAGAUCCUACUCUGUGGUUAUAACUUGAAUCCAAUUGUAUGUCAGUGGUUUAGAGCUGGCAUAUAGCUUUGUUCCUCUGAGACAAUAAUACUUUGCAUUUAUAGAAUGCUUUUCAUCCAAAGAUCUCAAAGGACGUUACUAGCAUCAAUAAAGCUUGAACUAUUCAGUAACAUUCUCUUUUCAUUUUGUAUAUUGCUUUCCCAGUCUUCUGUCUCACUCAGGCUAUUAAAUUUUAUUUUCCUUUACAAGCUGCAUGGACCUUGUCUACCUGACUUAGAGUUUAUUUCUCUUUCCAGGAUCAACUUUUCGAUAUUAACUUUAACUACUUGCACACAAAUGCACACAUACAAUCUAAAAUACUAUCUCACUUUAUUGUACUCUUUGCAUCUUAAAUAAAUAAUCUUAACUGAAUAAUAAUAAUAAAGAAAUACAAACCCAAAUAAAUAUUUAAGUAAAUAUAAAAA